AUUGAACGCUAGCGGGAUGCCUUACACAUGCAAGUCGAACGGAGUGGCGAAAGGGUGAGUAAUGUAUCGGAACGUGCCCAGUAGCGGGGGAUAAAUACGCGAAAGCGGAGCUAAUACCGCAUACUAUUGGCGCGGACGAUAUCGGAUUAGCUAGUGGGGGGGGUAACGGCUACCCAAGGCGACGAACCGUAGCUGGUUUGAGGGGACGACCAGCCACACUGGGACUGAUCCACGGCCCAGACUCCUACGGGAGGCAGCAGUGGGGAAUUUUGGACAAUGGGGGAAACCCUGAUCCAGCCACCCCGCGUGUGCGAUGAAGGCCUUCGGGUUGUAAAGCACUUUUGGCAGGAAAGCGGUACCUGCAGAAUAAGCACCGGCUAACUACGUGCCAGCAGCCGCGGUAAUAC
rnacentral:rRNA from 1 species